rnacentral:rRNA from 2 species
AAGGUGGAUUUGUAAGUAAUUAUUUUUUAAUGUUGAUUAAUGAAUUAUGGAACUACAUGUGUACAUAUUGCCCGUCGCUCUCAUUGUUUUGAGAUAAGUCGUAACAUAGUUGAUUUACCGGAAGGUAUAUCUUUUGU